rnacentral:tRNA from 1 species
GGUGGGGGUAGCUCCGUGGAAGAGUACUUGCCUAGCAUGCACCAGGCCCUGAGUUCCAUCCUCAUCACCACCA